rnacentral:rRNA from 1 species
GAUGAACGCUGGCGGCGUGCCUAAUACAUGCAAGUCGAACGAAGAUCUAGCUUGCUAGAUCUUAGUGGCGAACGGGUGAGUAAUACAUAAAUAAUCUGCCCAUAUGACUGGGAUAACUAUUGGAAACGAUAGCUAAUACCGGAUAGGUUGAUCGGAGGCAUCUCUGAUGAAUUAAAGUAGGAUUUCUACACAAAUGGAUGAGUUUAUGGCGCAUUAGUCAGUUGGUGGGGUAACGGCCUACCAAGACGAUGAUGCGUAGCCGACCUGAGAGGGUGACCGGCCACACUGGGACUGAGACACGGCCCAGACUCCUACGGGAGGCAGCAGUAGGGAAUUUUCGGCAAUGGGCGCAAGCCUGACCGAGCAACGCCGCGUGAGUGAUUAAGGCCUUCGGGUUGUAAAGCUCUGUUGUAAGGGAAGAACUUUCAGGAUAGGAAAUGAUCUUGAACUGACGGUACCUUACCAGAAAGCCACAGCUAACUACGUGCCAGCAGCAGCCGCGG